rnacentral:tRNA from 1 species
GCAUUGGUAGUUCAGUGGUAGAAUUUUCACCUUCCAUGUAGAGACCUGGGUUCAAUUCCUGGCCACUGCA